CGGGUCGAGAACCUGCUGGUAUCCAUAAGCUGAAAAAACAAACCCAACUCUAUUGGGAACCUAUGAUCCUCGUCAUGUGGAGGAACUCGAUGAGUUUAACACCAAAGCUGUUAUCAAACUUGAAUUAUUAUCAUUAUGGAUCGAGGUCUUCAUCGAUUUUCAAUGCAAAUGGCUUCGUCUUUGUGCCGCAAUUCCUCUCGCGUUGCUCAUCUUCAUCCGCCGCCAUCCCUCCACCUUCAGGCUCACUCAGAUCUAGGUUUCUGAAACGCAAAUCUGAUGAAAUUCAAACUUUCUCCCCAACUUCCUCGGUAGCCGCUGUCGACCUCUCACCCUUGACUUCCGCGGUGCAAUUGGCUCGCCACUACAGCCG
rnacentral:misc_RNA from 1 species